GCUCAGAACUACAAGGAAGUUGACGGGGCCCGCACAAGCGGUGGAGUAUGUGGUUUAAUUCGAUGCAACGCGAAGAACCUUACCUGGUCUUGACAUCCCGGAGACCCUUAGGAAACUAGGGGUGCUUCCAUCUGGAAGAAUCUGGAGACAGGUGCUGCAUGGCUGUCGUCAGCUCGUGUCGUGAGAUGUUGGGUUAAGUCCCGCAACGAGCGCAACCCUUGCCUUUAGUUGCCAGCAGUUCGGCUGGGCACUCUAAAGGGACUGCCGGUGUUAAACCGGAGGAAGGUGGGGAUGACGUCAAGUCCUCAUGGCCUUUAUGACCAGGGCUACACACGUACUACAAUGGCCGAUACAAAGGGCAGCGACACUGCGAGGUGAAGCCAAUCCCGUAAAAUACGGUCUCAGUCCGGAUUGGAGUCUGCAACUCGACUCCAUGAAGUUGGAAUCGCUAGUAAUCGUGGAUCCAGCAUGCCACGGUGAAUACGUUCCCGGGCCUU
rnacentral:rRNA from 1 species